UACGUAGGGGGCAAGCGUUGUCCGGAUUUAUUGGGCGUAAAGAGCGUGUAGGCGGCCUGACAGGUCAGCUGUGAAAACUCGAGGCUCAACCUCGAGACGUCGGUUGAAACCAUCUGGCUAGAGUCCGGAAGAGGAGUGUGGAAUUCCCGGUGUAGCGGUGAAAUGCGCAGAUAUCGGGAAGAACACCCGUGGCGAAGGCGGCACUCUGGGACGGUACUGACGCUGAGACGGGAAAGCGUGGGGAGCGAACAGG
rnacentral:rRNA from 1 species